rnacentral:rRNA from 1 species
GACGUAGGGCGCGAGCGUUGUCCGGAUUUAUUGGGCGUAAAGAGCUCGUAGGCGGCUUGUCGCGUCGACUGUGAAAUCCCGCGGCUCAACUGCGGGUCUGCAGUCGAUACGGGCAGGCUAGAGUUCGGUAGGGGAGACUGGAAUUCCUGGUGUAGCGGUGAAAUGUGCAGAUAUCAGGAGGAACACCGAUGGCGAAGGCAGGUCUCUGGGCAUUAACUGACGCUGAGGAGCGAAAGCAUGGGGGAGCGAACAGG